rnacentral:rRNA from 1 species
GAUGAACGCUGGCGGCGUGCCUAAUACAUGCAAGUCGAGCGAACGGACGAGAAGCUUGCUUCUCUGAUGUUAGCGGCGGACGGGUGAGUAACACGUGGAUAACCUACCUAUAAGACUGGGAUAACUGCGGGAAACCGGAGCUAAUACCGGAUAAUAUUUUGAACCGCAUGGUUCAAAAGUGAAAGACGGUCUUGCUGUCACUUAUAGAUGGAUCCGCGCUGCAUUAGCUAGUUGGUAAGGUAACGGCUUACCAAGGCAACGAUGCAUAGCCGACCUGAGAGGGUGGUCGGCCACACUGGAACUGCGACACGGUCCAGACUCCUACGGGAGGCAGCAGUAGGGAAUCUUCCGCAAUGGGCGAAAGCCUGACGGAGCAACGCCGCGUGAGUGAUGAAGGUCUUCGGAUCGUAAAACUCUGUUAUUAGGGAAGAACAUAUGUGUAAGUAACUGUGCACAUCUUGACGGUACCUAAUCAGAAAGCCACGGCUAACUACGUG